UGUGAUAGCGCGACGGGUUUAUUGGUUUAUCGGUAAAAUGGGCUUCACUGAAUACAAUGGAAACAAGUCAGCUCUGUGCUGAGAAUUGAAUACAUACGUUUCUGUCCAGAUUUUGGUCAAAGCAACCGUUAAAAAUAAUUACAUACGCUGGUUCUGAUCACAAGACUUAUUUAAAACUUAUUUAGUUAUUCGGCAAAUAACUUAGCCGCUAAAAUUUAAGUGCAGCCAGCCAUCAUGACUAAAUCCCAAGGAGACUACGUCACUGUACUGGAUCUCUGUAUCUCGGAUCUCGAUCGCCUUCAAGAUCAUGUACACUCAGCCUUAAUAAAAGACCAACUCAACAAAGUACGUGAAUUAAUCCGCCUUAUGAAGGAUGACCAUUGCAAGUCCAACAAGUGGAGAACUGUUGGCGUCAUACUUGAGGUUAUUGGAAGUAUACCAGCCAUAGUUGGCAUCAUCCUUGCAACGCCUUGCUUGUCAUUGCUUAUACCUGCGUCUAUAGGCAUUGGUAUCGUGGGAUCACUGAUCACCAUGAUAACGGACGUCCGCGCCCAUAUUGUGGGGCACAGAAUGAAGGUACAAUUCGACGAAUCAGACAAGCAAAGAAACGAUGAAUUUGCAAAGGCUGGCCGAGAGAAUUAUGUUCCCCCCGUUGAACACGGCUUUACUUGGGGUAACGUGGGAAAACAAUUUGUAAAUGCUGGGGUGCAAUGAAAAACUUUCUUCAGUUUUUAUACACUUUUCCGAAAAGCGAUAGAUUAUAAUUGUCGUGGUGGUUUCUUAAAGGCAAAGUGCCUAAAUCUUGGCUGGUGUGACACACUUAAAAAGAUUUGGACAUCCCAUCCAACUUUUCUUGGGCUACUAUCCUUUGCAAAGAUAUUCUUUGAGUUGUGGUACUUGUACAGCAAUUGGACGUCUGAACCGGAAGUGCUCAAAUCCAUGAGAGAGGUCGAGCGAUGCUUGGCAGAAAAGUUGAAGGGAGAUGGGGCACAUUCAAUGACAUCGGAUUUGUUGCAGGGUUAAUUAUUUUAUGCCCUUCUUUCAAGUCGAAAGCUGCACAAUCGACAAAUUUUUUCAGGUCAAAAAUUAUAGUUAAACAACUUUGGAAACAAGGUUGCACAUCAAUUUUAGAUAAGGGAAUUUAGAAAAGAUAAUUUUAGAAAAGGGAAAACCUACAGGUAAUGUGAGAAAUAGAAAAUUUGUAAGGUUAGGGUAUUGUUUAUUAUUUAAAUAGUAUGUAUUUAUUAACAUUUUAAAAACAUUACUAAUAUUUUUGAAAAACAAAAUUAAAAUUUCUGUAUAUUCGAAGAGUAAAACCAGGCGAUAGCUUGUAGUGGAACAUUUUGUACUUAAUUCUAAUUAUUAUAUAUUUAUCCCAAAGUGUUAUGGAUGUAGAUGUUUAGCUCAACAGAAUAAAAUAUGUUUAACAAAUGGAAUCCUUA